rnacentral:rRNA from 1 species
UAGGGAAUUUUCGGCAAUGGGGGCAACCCUGACCGAGCAACGCCGCGUGAGUGAUGAAGGUCUUCGGAUUGUAAAGCUCUGUUGUAAGGGAAGAACGGCAUCUAGAGAAUAGGUGAGUGACGGUACCUUACCAGAAAGCUACGGCUAACUACGUGCCAGCAGCCGCGGUAAUACGUAGGUAGCGAGCGUUAUCCGGAAUUAUUGGGCGUAAAGGGUGCGUAGGCGGCCUGUUAAGUUUAUGGUGAAAGCGUGGGGCUCAACCCCAUAAAGCCAUAGAUACUGGCAGGCUAGAGUACUGGAGAGGGUAGUGGAAUUCCAUGUGUAGCGGUAAAAUGCGUAGAUAUAUGGAGGAACACCGGUGGCGAAGGCGGCUACCUAGACAGAGACUGACGCUGAGGCACGAAAGCGUGGGGAGCAAAUAGG